rnacentral:sRNA from 1 species
CGGGACGUCUAUAUGGAGGAGGACGUGUAUCAGCUGCAGGAGCUGCGACAGCAGCUGGACCAGGCCAGCAAGACCUGCCGCAUCCUGCAGUACCGGCUGCGCAAAGCCGAGCGCCGCAGUCUCCGUGCUGCCCAGACUGGCCAGGUGGACGGCGAGCUUAUCCGUGGUCUGGAGCAGGAUGUCAAGGUCUCUAAGGACAUCUCCAUGCGGCUGCAUAAGGAGCUCGAGGUAGUGGAGAAGAAACGGGCGCGACUGGAGGAGGAGAACGAAGAGCUUCGUCAGCGGCUCAUCGAGACUGAGCUUGCUAAGCAGGUGCUGCAGACGGAGCUGGAGCGACCGAGAGAGGUGAGGAUCUCGUGCAUCCAGCAGGGCCAGCCUAGAGCAGGUGGGCACAUGCAAGCGCCCCUUAAGCCAGUGUCUCUGUGAGCCCCCGCUUGUGGGAAAUGGGCAGCUUAUGCCUCCCUGGCAAGGUUGUUUAUUCAUUCAUUCCUCCAGCAUGCAUUUCCUGAGCACCUUCUGUGUAAAUUGUAUGCUGGACACUAAGGUUACGAUGGUGAACAAAAUACACCCAGUUCCUGUCCUCAGGGAGCUCAUGGGGUAAUGAGAGAAUCAUUCAUCAAAGAACCACAGCCGCUGUGGGAGGAUUAACUGAGAAAACAUGCAACAAUGUCAGGCAUGGGGCUCAGCCCUCUGUGCCUCAGUUUCCUUACCUAUAAAAUGGGGCAGCGGUGCCCUGAGUCACUGUGAGGACCAACAGGAAUAACGCAUGUGGAGUGGCUGCAAGAGACUGCGAGGUCCU